CUAUAAUAUAGGAAUUUGAGAAACUCCCGUUGGAGAUGCUCUUAUUAACAGAUUCAGCCCCUAAUUUCAUAAACCUCAACUGGAACUGUAGAAUCAUUACUUCAAAACCCUAACUAACAUUUUCGACUUGUUCUUCAUCCUUAUACCCUAGUUAACGUCGAACCCACCUCUAAUCUCCCCCUUAAACAAUUUAUUUCGUCUUCUAAAUCUUCUCUGAACAUCUCUACGAAACCCUAAUUCAUUGAUUAUACAAAUCUCCAAUUCUCUCUUCAAUUUAUACCUAAUUCAAACAUAGCUGGCUUUAAUUCCAGCAUAACCCCUUAGAUUCAACUCUGAUUUCACUAUUGUUCUUCACCUUGAACUCAUACUUAAACCCUAACUUUUGAUCUGAAAGUAAACCAAAUAUUUGCUGAAAUUGAGAAGACGAGCGAGAGAAUGAGCAUUUGCCAUGAAUAUUUGAUGUUUGUGAGCUGCAGAUGAAGAAUUCUACUGUUAUGGUGGUGGUGAUUUCAUCGACGGAGAAGAUCUAAAAUGUUUGAUUGAUGAGUAUAUUUGUAAUGGGUAUGAUUGAAUUGGCUUCUGAAAUUGAUGGGAAGAGAAGAUGACGAAAAUGAAAUUGAUAUCGAGUAUAUUUGAGAUGACGAAAAUGAAAUGGAGAUCGAGAAAGAAAUAGAUGGAACUGAAAUUGAUUAGAGAAUCAGAGAUUUAUUGGUCUUGAAAUUGAUUUGCAUCUGGUGAAAUGGGAAUUAGCUGGUGGAGGAAUCGAUUUUUUGUUGAUUUAUUGGGGAUUUUUGGGGAGGAUUUUUGUUGAUUUGCAUCUUGAAAGAAUAAGCUUCAGAGUUUGGCUGGACAACAUGAAGGCAAAUUUUAGAAGGUGCUGUGGUUGUUGGAGUUGUGCAGCUGAUGCAAAGAAGUUGCAGAUGGAUGUGAUGCUAGGUGGUAGUAGUGUUGGUAUUGAACUGAAGCAACAGAAUUAAGUCGCAGCUGAGAUUACAAGAGUUGAGAAGGUUAUGAAUUUGAGAUGGUCAUUGAGCUGUGGCAAUGGCUAGGCAGUGUGCUGAUGGACUUGAAGAGAAUGGGUAGGCAGGUUGUGUGGAGUUGAUGCUACACAAUGGUGCUGAUAGGGCUAAUAACCACCACGUUUUUCCUGGUUUUAUUGGGGAAAAUCAGUUUCAAACUUUCAAUAUGAUGCCAAUGCAUCAACGCAGCUGCAGUUAUUUGGAAAUUAGUGCAGGUUGACCCCAGUGGAGAAAUCAUGAUUACCUGCACGAUCUAUUGUUUUGGAGUACCUUGCUGCAAGAUACGAAGUUGACCCCAGUGGAGAAAUCAUGAUACUGAAAAAUUUCUGCCCGGUAACUAUGACAAGACUAGGUGACCGCAGAUCUCUCGAGUCCACAAAGUUACCACCAAUGCAGCUAAUUGGUCACAGGGGCAUAGGUCUUACCCCUGGUCUGGGGGUGAUUCUUCUCCAAGUUUCCACUUUCCAGUGCUAGUUCAUUCAAAAGCAUUGAGGGAUCGGAUAAUGUUUUCAUAACAUCUUAAUCUUCAUAUUGUUCAGGAAACUUAACUUUUGGUAAGAAACAUCUAUAUCACUGCCAUUUUUUGAAUGUGUGUUUAACACUGGCAGUUUAACUUGAAUGAAUGUAAAUGUGUUACACUGGCAGGUUAAUUUGUAUGUGAAUUACUUUCGGCAAUUUGGU